rnacentral:lncRNA from 1 species
AGUGGUGCGAUAAUCGAAAGGUUAAGGUAAAUAUUAAUUUUUACUAUGACACGUCUAGAUAACACCUCUUUUAUAACUAGUUAUUUUGAUUCAUUUCUUGUUUGCCUGUUAUUGUUUAAUAUGCUUUUAGUGCAGACUCAGCCGACACACCCAGAUUUUAAACAUAAAGAAACGGGUGAAGCACUAUGGCUUGAUGGUCCAAAAGCUGAGUGGGUUUUGUCAAAAUUGAAAACAUUAGAAAUUGAUCAGAGGCAAGAUAAAGGUAAGAACAUGAAUUGUUAUGCCUACUUCUGUUUGUAGCUCAUGUAGCGUGAUGAUUUAUUUGAGAUCUGUUAUGUCCUGUCAACUUUGAUUCAAAGCACAUGAUUUAGUUCUUUCUGUGUUCAAAGUUAGGGCUUCAGGAAAUUAAUGAAAUGAGUCAAGGGGAGGGAGGCUUCAAUCCAAGCCAUUCUUCCUUAUUUAGCUAUCACAGAAUAAGGGAUAAGACUUGAUUACCAUUAUCCUUAGCCAAUCCAAGCCCUUAGUUUCUCUUUAACAACAUAGCAUAAUGUCUAGGUUAAUUGAUCCUUAAUUUAGGCAAAAUAAUAACCAAGGUUAUCCAUGUGAUAUUUGGUUAAUUUAGGAGAGAAAUUGAGUCAUAAACUGGGGGUGUGGAGAUUCCUUCAAAUUAAUAAUUUAUUUCUCAUGUGUGGAGAUUCCUUCUCUCUCCUAAGUUAACCAAGUGAUAUGGCUUUAUACAUGUGGUGAAUAAUAGUAUGACAUGUGUCUUCUCAUUUGGACCAACCAUCAUGUGACAAGUGUCCCACUUGGAGAUAAAUUAUACAACAAUCCUACGUCUUUGAUUCAACUUCAAGGCAUACUCCUUCUAGGACAAGUGAUAGGAUUCACAUGUACAAAGUGGUCCCCCCUUAAAAUACUUUAUACAUAUCAAAGAUAUGCCUCUUAAACAAGCAAGGCCACAAACAGGUGGGCCUACACAGAUGACAUUAUGCUGAUGUCAUCUGAUUGGGGCCCUAGUGUGCCUAUGUGGGGCCCUACUUGGAUACAUUGGGGCCUAUAGGGCACUUAGGCCCUAUGUGAGUCAAAGCCCCUUUGAUGUCCUUUUUGGUAUUAUACCCAACACUUUUCCUUGCCCAUUUUAGGCCCUAGAAAAAUUAUAAAAAAUUCAGAAAAAUCUCCAAAAAUGACAAUUGAGUUUAUUUUACUGAUUUCAAAAGGUUUGGAUGUUCAAAAAAAAUAUUGAAGAGAAAUUAGGUACCUACAAGCUUGGAAUCACACGAUGAUAGGGUGUUUUAUUUGCUUGUGGGAGGCUCACUUUAGGAUGUUUCUAUGCAAUUUGGAUCAAUACUGUGGUUACAUUGGGAGACAUAUAAACAAUAAAAAAUAUGAGAGGAAUCCAAUUCUCAUUUAUGAAUAUGAGGUUCCAAUCAAGGUUUCAAUAAACACUAGGCGGCCGUCCUGGCGGCCAACGCCUAGAACCUCAAGCGCUCUGUAGUACAAAUUCUUUAAAUAUAUACAUAUAUGUGCGUUUGGAACACACAUAUAUGCAUAUAUUUUUGUCAAUUUUGUAAUUUAUUAUAUUUGAAAAUAUUGUAACAUACUUUUUCAUAAACAACCAUAUGACAUGUCACAUGUUGAGAAUGAACUUAUUCAAAAUUUUAAAAGUCAAACCAAACAAAACAUUUAAAAGUGUCUAAUAGGCAAUGUAAUAGUAAUAGUCUGAUAGUUUCCAACUCUCCAAUUCUCCAUAUUCCAUGAAAACAUGGACUCCGAGUCUCCAACUCUUCAACAAACAAAAGUAUAAAGCCACACAACAAAAUAGUCCAAAAAGGUAAAAAGUCUGUCUAGCAUCCAAAUGUCUAUAGUCUUAACCAAGACAGUGCAAUAAAGAUACUACAAAAAAGAGAGAGGACAUUAAUAAGAAUAAGAAUCGCUUGCAUCUGCAUCAGAAUCGAGGCCUUCAUCAUCAGAAUCAUUACCCUCUUCAACAUAUUGCUCUUCUUCCAUAGUUUCUUCUGAAUCUGCCUCCUCCUCUAUCUCCCUUUGUGGGUGUGAAGUACAAGCAACUUUCGUUGCUCGAGUGGCCCUUCUACGAUCAAAAGCUCGUUUGGAAGCCUCCUCAACCAUUUCCCAGGUCAAUCCCUCCUUGGAGAAGACCUCAUUACUAGGGUCUCCAUCUAGCUAAUUUGAAGCAUUCUCCAUAUCUUUCGAAGCGAUGAGAUCCUUCUUUUCCUGGUUAAACUUAUCCUUGAGCCUCUGAUUCUCUCUAACAAAAAUUACACCUAUAAGAAAAAUGCAUCAGUACUAGACUACUAUGAUCUUCUAUGAAUCUACAUUAGAAAAAUGAACUUAUAAACAAGAAAAACGAAACAAACUCCAAUUGCGCUCACAACCAGAAAAGGUAGUUGUCAAACUCGAGAUCCGAAUAGCUAGUUUCUAGAGGUGUGGAGCGCUAGUCCCAUGUUGUCUCCACCAUUGGGCUGCAAUAUGUGGGCAACUAUUAUAAUUAAUUUAGGUAUUUAACAUGAUCAUACAUAAUUUUAAGAACUUGAAGGAAAAUUAUCAAACAAAAAGUACAAAAUAUAUUAUUAUUACCUAGUUCAUCUUUGUUUCUCUGUCUUAUUGCCAUAUCUGUGCCGAAUGACAUCAAAGCACGCUUGUACGGAAUAAGUUUUUUAGUUGAUAUCUUAUCUUGGAUAUGUGGAUCUGGAACUAAUCUCUCAAGUCACUCAUUAAAACCAUCCAUAAUUGUAUCUUUUGCCUCAAUAUCAACAUCAACAUAAAAGAAUUUGGGGUUUAAGUAGUACCCUGUUGCAUUCAAUGGUCUAUGGAGCUGCCUAUCCCACUUGGCAUCUAUAAUCUCCCAAAUUGGGCUGUACUUGGCCUCAUCAUUGCCCAAAUUCUCUGUGAUCUCCUUCUUAGCUCUUGCAAUUGCAUCAUCUAUAAAGCCCAUAGAGGGCUUGUCUGCAUCAACCAAGUGCAAGACCUUCACCAAGGGUGGAAAUAGUAGUAUCACAUGUUUUACCCCAUGCCAAAAAUACUUAGAAAGAACAAUAUCCCUUGCCUUCUUUCCCUUGGCAUCUCUAGACUACCUACAUCGACUCCAAUCCUUUGAAGCAAACAUAGUCCUCAAUGGGAUCCUCCUUCUAUACAUGCUCUGUAGACUAAGGUAGGCAGUGGCAAAUCUAGUGACCCUGGGCCUCAUUAGCUCCCUCUUCUUAAUAAACUUGGCAUCAUGCCAAGGGUAAGUGUGUGACUGUAUAUGAAGAUUGUAACCUUCUUAGCCUUUAAAAAAACUCCUUUAAUGGUAGUCAUAUCACUAAUGAUUGUGACCAUAAGAUCUAUGCAAUGUGCAGCGCAAGUAGUCUAAAAUAUGUAAGGCCUUCUGUCGAAGCAAAUGGCUUGCAGCUAUAUUAGGAGCAUCAUUAUCUGUAACCGCUUGAAUUACAUGCUCCUCCCCAACCUCCUCAAUGCCUUUAUUAAUGAAAGAAAGUAUGUCAUUAGCAUCAUAAAUAUCAUCAGAAACAUCAAUGGAUCGCAAAAAGACUGUACCCAAGGGACAAUUUGCCAACAAAUUCUUGGUACUCCUAUCACUUCACAGAUCGGUCAUUAAAGAAACCCCAAAUUUAGCCCAGCCAUCCUUAUGGGUCUUGAGAUAUUCCCUAGUAUACUCUACUUCUUUAUUCAAUAGUGGCUCGCCAAUCUAAUCUGGAGUUGGGCCUUUUGAACCAGGCCCAAAUUACCUAAUUGCUUUCAACAUUGUAUGGAAGAUAUUCAAGUGAGCGGUAUUAAAAGAAAUACUUGCAUGUUAAAACCAUCGAGCAAUAUAUUGAACCACCCGGCCUCUGUUUUCCUUCUUAAAUCUAUUUUCAAGUGUUCUUUGUUUUUUCCUCUUUCCCUUCUCUUUCUCAAUUACUGUCUCGGGGCUAGGUGUAAAAAAACUAUCAAUAGGCCCUUUCAUAUGAUGCCUCUUAAACCCAAAACCCCUCUUACUCUUAGCGCUCUGAGUAGCAAUCAGGCCGACCUCGUCUUCCCCUUCUUCAUCCUUAUCAAUGUCAACAUCAUCCUAAAAAAUAUGGACCCCUGACCUCAAUUUUGCUAUAUCUUUUCCUUUUGAUAUUUUUUUAUUUUUUGAGCUUCAAUAUAGUCAAAAAUUUCUUUCUUUACAAACGUUGGGACUUUCUUACACGGGCAACAUCGCCUCUAAUACCAGCAAGAUGUUUCUUGAAUCUAUUUAUGCCAGCAUUAGAAAUAUGUCCAAAAAACUGCACAUAAUUUUAUUUUUGUUAUUCUUAUGCGGGUUAACACAAUACUUCCAUCCCAGAUCUCCACACUUGGUAGACCUCGAGGAGGAUAUAUCAAAUUCGGAAAAUGAGACUCAAAUAAAGAUAAAAAAUUGAUAUUUUUUGCCCAGUCUUUGCUCCUCAAUAUUUGUUACCUCAAUCGAGCUACUAUUCACCUCAAAAGUCUUCUAAUGCCUCCAAUAGCAUCUUAAAAACAAUUCCAAUGAGAAAAUAAAAGUCUAGGAAGCUUCAAACCAAAAAAAAUACUUUCGAUUCUCAAAAUAGGUAUAGCUAAGAGAUUGAGGACUUAUGUAUGUGUUUUUUUAAAUUUGAGGGGUUGAAAAUAACCCCCAUAACAUAUUUAUACCUUUUUGGGUGUCAAAAUUACCCCAUUUGUCCUUUUGGGCGACUUUAAAAUUCGUAAAAAGCCCACGUCCCUGGGUACCCAAGUCUAGGCGUGCGGUCUGAGGGGUCUUGGGCGCCUAGCAACUAGGCAGACUGUUUUUUGAAACCUUGGUUCCAAUCUUGUGAUGUUUGCAUAAAGCAGGCUAUGGACAUGUUCAAGUGAUGUCAACAUCAAUUUUUGGUGAUUUAAUCUAUGCUCUUCAAGAAUGUCAUGUGGUUAUAGCACCCAUUUGACAUUUUCCAUGCAUUCCAGGGAUCUCAUGUGCACUUGUAUAUAUGCAUGUAAGGACUGAAUGAGCAUUUUUUUCAACUAUGUAGGUCAUGUUUGUAGGGUCGAUGAUGUUGUCAAACAAUUUGUUCUUUUGUAAUGACACCCCAUCUCUAUAUGGGAAAUUGGGGUUUCUCUUUCUCAGAAUUUGCUUUCACUCAAACUACAUACAUAGUGAUUUGGGGGAAAUUAAUCUGGUAAUUAAUCGUCUGGCAUGUCUCUUUGGGACAUCCCAGCCAUGCCAAGAGUUUUUGACUUUUGGUUGAAUGGCUGCUCCAAACAAAGCCCUCAUGUGGGAUCACUUGCAAUAUUGGACACCCAACGCAAAGGCUCUUUUGAGUUUUGACGUAUACAAUUGUUCUCAAGUCUCAACAGGCAAACAGGCAAAACAUGACUAAACAUACCCACGUGACACUAAUUAGAAAAAAGGAAACUAAAUCAUAAACUAACAAGUAGAGCUUCUCCUAAGUACAGUAUGACUCAAAGUCUGUAUAUACUGUCGGCCCAUGGAUUUUCACUGAAGGUGGUGCUCUGUUAUAAUACUAUUUUGUAGUGUAAAGUAAUCCGGCAAUUUUCUGUCUUACCUCGACUAGUGUGACAUACCACAUGGUUUACACCAGUGUAGGAAAAAUCAAUCUGGAACGGUUAACCAGUCAUGGGGCCGGAAGUGGUUCCACUGGCCUAGUUGGGCAACUCCCAGCGGUAAAAAAAGUGUUAAAAAAAUACAAAAAUACAAGAAACAAUAUAAUAAAAUAUGAAAAAUAUAUUUAAAGCAUGAUAAAACAAAACACAUCCAAAUGAAGUUUAAAAUUAAUAAAAAAAAUGAAUUUUAAAGAAUUGAUUUUGCCCAGGGGUAUUUUUGAAUAAUCCAUCUGGAAUGGUUAACCAGUCAUGGGGCCGGAAGUGGUUCCACCGGCCUAGUUGGGCAACUCCCAGCGGUCAAAAAAGUGUUAAAAAAAUACAAAAAUACAAAAAACAAUAUAAUAAAAUAUGAAAAAUAUAUUUAAAGCAUGAUAAAACAAAACACAUCCAAAUGAAGAUGGGAAAAUGAAUUUUAAAGAAUUGAUUUUGCAUAGGGGUAUUUUUUAAAUUAAAAAAAAAAAGAUGGGAAAAUGCAAAAAUAAGUAUUAAUGGCCAAAAAAAUUUCUAAUCUUUGGCCAAAAGAUGAAAAACAUUAAAAAAUUCAUUGCAAUCAAAUUCCCUUAUCUUUUGGGGUUUUAUAUAAUUUUAUUUGGAUUUUUUUAAAAGACCUGGCUGGUUCACCAAAACCGGCAGAAAUUGGAACCAACCAGUGGCUGGUUCCGAUUAACCUCUAACCGCCCAUUUUUCCUACGCUGGUUUACACCAAUAUUCAUAUGGCGUGAAUUCUAAGACUAUUUGGAUUUGUGAGUUACUUCGUCUCAAAAAAAUUUUAACUUAGAAAAGUUCUCAACAUGCAAUGGAAGAGUACAUAAAAACCUUUGCCUAGUGACAUUAACUAAAACAAAGAGAGAGAAAACAAAUUUGUAAAUGACUGACCGAAAGACCCUGUGUAACAUAAGAGUACUGAAAUGACAAUGAAAAUCUACGAGAUUUUAUGUUGAGAAUGGAACUUCUGAUGAAUGGUACCUUGUGGGAAUCCAUAAUUAUUAAAAGAAAAAAAUAAAUAAAAGAAAACGAAACAGGGGAUACAUGAGAUCUGUUAGCAUCUUCUUUUUAUUCAUGGCAGUAUUCAAAGGUAUUUUGCAAGACCUUUUGCAACAGGGACUAGGGAUAAUUUUGUGACGGAUCUUUGGAAAGAUCUUUUUUCUUAUCCUGACAAGUGGUGGGAUGAGAGGAUGGUGAGGUAAUGCGAUUGGUAAUCUUCGUUCCCACACAAUGAUAUAACUCAAAUUGUCACCUUGAUUUUCACUCGGCCCGUGUUUGAUAUGCGUGUUAUGUAGGUUAGUACGAGGUUCCCUGAUUUUAAACCCAAAGAAACUGGCGAAGCGUUAUGGCUUGAUGGCCUUAACCAGAGUGGCUUUUUGCCGAUAUUAUACACUUUAAAAAAUCAAUAUGAGAGUCAUUUAUCAGGGUCAAAGUGAAGGUUAGAACUCAUAUAUAUGCAUGCCUAUUUCUUUUCGUAUUUUACUACUACCUUGUGAGGAUGAUCUUUUUUUGGAAGUUAUAUCCUCUCGACUUUGAUAUUGAGCACAAGAUUGAUUGUUUGGCACAUAUUUAUCACAUAGAACACUUCUAUGGCUAUUUCAGAUUUGCAUCACAAAACAAACACAUUGGUUGGCUUAUGUCUGUAGUGUGAAAAUUCAGGACUUUCAAGACUAGCUAGUGCAACCCUUAAUUUUCAUGGCAUUACUGUAUGACAUCUAGCUGGACCUUCUGCAGGGCAUCUUUGGGAAGAUCUUUUUGCUGAUCCCAGUAAGUGGUGCGAUAAUCGGAAGGUUAAGGUAAAUAGAAUAUUAAUUUUUACUAUGACACAUCUAGAUAACACCUCUUUUAUAACUAGUUAUUUUGAUUCAUUUCUUGUUUGCCUGUAAUUUUUUAAUAUGCUUUAAUGCAGACUCAGCCGACACACCCAGAUUUUAAACAUAAAGAAACGGGUGAAGCACUAUGGCUUGAUGGUAUAAAACCUGAGUGGGUUUUGUCAAAAUUGAAAACAUUAGAAAUUGAUCAGAGGCA